ensembl:snoRNA
AAUUAGAUUCUAAAAAUUACAUCAGCCAACUGCAUGGAGAACAACCUAGAGAGACUUUGACAGCUCAGAUCAGCCCAACAACUACAGCUGCCACUCACCUUUCCUAUAAGG